rnacentral:tRNA from 1 species
AGUUCCGUCGUCUAGUGGUCUAAGACAUUCCGUUGUCAGCGGAAAAUCGCGGGUUCAAAUCCCGUCGGGACUG